CCCUGGCUGUCCAGUUAGGACUCAGCACUUUCACUGCUGGGAUCUGGGUUCAAUCCCUGGUCAGGGA
rnacentral:tRNA from 1 species